rnacentral:rRNA from 1 species
GACGAACGCUGGCGGCGCGCUUAACACAUGCAAGUCGAGCGAUGAAAUCUUAACAGAACCCUUCGGGGUGAAGAUAAGACGGAUUAGCGGCGGACGGGUGAGUAACACGUGAGUAACCUGCCUUUUACACAGGGAUAGCCUCAGGAAACCGGGAUUAAAACCUGAUGAAACUAUCAAAUCACAUGAUUAAGAAAGUUAAAACUCCGGUGGUAAAAGAUGGACUCGCGUCCCAUUAGCUAGUUGGUGAAGGUAACGGCCCCCCAAGGCAACGAUGGGUAGCCGGCCUGAGAGGGUGAACGGCCACAUUGGAACUGAGAAACGGUCCAAACUCCUACGGGAGGCAGCAGUGGGGAAUAUUGCACAAUGGGGGAAACCCUGAUGCAGCGACGCCGCGUGAGCGAAGAAGGCCUUCGGGUCGUAAAGCUCUUUUAUAUGGGAAGAUAAUGACGGUACCAGAAGAAAAAGCCCCGGCUAACUACGUG